UGUUACUGUGCAGCUAUCUGUUACAAAUGAAUGGGAAAAUAUCCUUGGCAUCCCUGCAAUUCAAGGAUGUUGUAAUUGGUAAGUUGUGACGUCAAAAGUAUCUGUACCAAGUUGAUACUAAAAUUUUAAAAAGAAUGAUACGAUAAGGUUUUUUUCAGUACCGGCAGUACCAAGUAUUCUCCUGCUUUCUGAUUGACUUUCUUUUGUAGGUAUUAAUUAACUGUGAUUUCCACUCAGCCAUCUUACUGAAAUUUGUGUAGGUUAGGAAUAAGACUGAGGAUGGAGUUGUACAGUUUUGUAGUGUGUAUCAUUUGUAAAUAUUGUUAACUUCUUUACCAUAGCCAUGCUGAGGGAGGCGUUGACUAAAUUAGAGAUGGUGCUGGACCAACAAACCACUGAGCUUGCUUCAACUACAGGUGUUCCAGGUGCAGUCUUUGGAUACUGAUGAAGAUUUACUGCCCUGCAAGAUCUUCCUCAACUGCGUAGUCUGGAGCAAAGGAUGCAACAGAGCCCAGAUUGCAAGCAAAAACUGGGCAGAUGUGCUCGACUGCACCUGGCGCAUAUUGAAGAGGGUGAUUGCUAACUCCCUGGAAAGAACCUCAAUUGGAGGGGAGUCAAUGGAAAGACUUCACUGGCCACUCUCCAACUUGGAGAGGUCAUGAUUGGUUUAUGGAAGUGUGCCCUGCCUCGAUCAAAGGACAUUCCUGAGGACCUCAGAAAAAGAGAGUUGUCAAUGCUCACUGGCUUGGAAAGGUUUACAGAGCCAUUUCUAAAGA